AUGGACGUUUACGAGUCCGUGUCGCGUACA
rnacentral:sRNA from 1 species